UACGUAGGGCGCAAGCGUUGUCCGGAAUUAUUGGGCGUAAAGAGCUCGUAGGCGGUUUGUCACGUCGGCUGUGAAAACCCGGGGCUCAACCCCGGGCCUGCAGUCGAUACGGGCAGACUAGAGUGCGGUAGGGGAGACUGGAAUUCCUGGUGUAGCGGUGAAAUGCGCAGAUAUCAGGAGGAACACCGGUGGCGAAGGCGGGUCUCUGGGCCGUAACUGACGCUGAGGAGCGAAAGCGUGGGGAGCGAACAGG
rnacentral:rRNA from 1 species